rnacentral:tRNA from 1 species
GCCUGAUUGAGCUCAGUCGGUUGAGCGUCCGACUUCGGCUCAGGUCAUAAUCUCAUGGUUCGUGGGUUCGAGCCCCAUAUCGGGCC